ACCAUGAAGUUUAGACUGGACUGGAUUUUCCUUCUGACUACUUUCCAAGGUAUUCAGUGUGAUGUGCAGCUGGUGGAGUCUGGGGGAGAUGUGACACAGCCUGGGGGUUCUCUUAGUCUCUCCUGCAAAACUUCUGGAUUUACUUUCAGCAACGACUACAUGCAUUGGCUCCGCCAGGCUCCAGGGAAGGGACUGGAAUGGGUUGCACAAAUUAUUGCUAGUGGUACUACAUACUAUGCAGACUCCAUAAAAGGCCGAUUCACCAUCUCCAGAGAUAAUGGCAACAGCAUGUUGUAUCUACAGAUGACUUCCCUUAAGACUGAGGAUACAGCCGUGUAUUACUGUGCAAGACACACAGUGAGGAAAAGGAAUGUGAGACCAGACAAAAACUGCCCCUACCAGGAGGUGAGACAUCAGUGA